rnacentral:lncRNA from 1 species
UCUUGGUAUUGCAGGGUCCAAGGCUAUAGAAAAUUUGAUGGCCCUUUGGGCAUGACUUCAAAUUGCUCUCCAGAAUGGUUGUACCAGUUUGUAGCUCCAUUUUUCUUCACCAUAAACUAUCCUCCAUUAAGUUUGUCUUCCUGGAUUACAUAGGGUAAAAUCUUUGAAUUACCCCUUCUACCACUUUUUUGAGUAUCUCAAUGAAUCACCAGACAUUGAUUAAAUGUCCAGUCUGUGCCAACCACUGUGCUAGAUAAAAUAAAUAUAACUGCCUUAAGUGAAACAAUCCCUCCUCACAAUGAACUUCCACAUUUUCCUCACUAAAGUCCUAUGAUGCCUUGCCAUGUCACAAAGGUGAUCCUGUCUAUCAAAAUUAACUCCAGCAGAGAACAAUUACCCAAAAUACCUAAGUAUAGUCUGGCUGAUGUACUGGGAACAAAAGAAUAGUGAAAUUAAAUAUGAUGAAGCCAUUACACUGAAGUUGACUUCCAGUUAUGAUCCAAUAGGAGAAGAGCCAAGGAAGCCUCUGUCUUCGGAGCACUGGAUCUAUUCUUGUCCUGGUCCCAACUCAUGUGGAGUCUUGGUCAUUCUACUUUCAGGGAUCCUUUCAUCAAUGGCGAGUUUUUGCAAGUGGUUGCUGUUUCCUGUAACUGUAUUGUGUGGUGAUGAAAAGCUUUUUGGCUGCUAAGCAGGAACCAAGUGUAAAUACAAAGGGCUUCAAGGCAGGGACUUUAUCAUUCUCCCUGGCAGCUUGAGGGUGAAGAGUAUAGGUCUUGGAGGGAGGGAGAGGCAGUGGAAACAGCAGCUUCAUGCCCUGGUGAGGGUAUCUUAUUUCCCUACUUGGAAGCUGUAUGUUUGUGAAAGCGUAGUAUGUUUUUUUUUCUUUUCCCCUUGUUUAUUCUGUUCUUUUCUGAUCCUAGGAGAAUGGGCAUCCAAUACCAGGUAGCAAGCCUGUGAGCUUCAGAAGGUGAGGAAAGCCACCAAAAUUCCAGCACCUGGAGUCCAUAGCAAAGCUUACUACAGAAGCUAUCAUCAAUGAGGAAUCAGUCAUGCAGAAGGAUCUGCUGGAAAUAAACCAGGGGCAGAUCAAUGCA